rnacentral:rRNA from 1 species
UCAAGCAAAUAAGUGCAUGUGGUGGAUGCCUUGGCGAUUACAGGCGAUGAAGGACGUGGAAGCCUGCGAAAAGCUUCGGGGAGCUGGCAAUCAAGCUUUGAUCCGGAGAUGUCCGAAUGGGAAAACCCACCCGUAAGGGUAGCUUCUCUUGAAUAUAUAGAGAGAAAGCGGCUAACCUGGUGAACUGAAACAUCUAAGUAACCAGAGGAAAAGAAAUCAACCGAGAUUCCCAAAGUAGUGGCGAACGAAAUGGGAUCAGCCUGCAAUUUUUAGCAUUAAGAUUAGCUGAAUUUUCUGGAAAGUUAAGCGAUAUUGGGUGAUAGCCCCGUAAGCAAAAAUCAUAAUGUGGAACUAAGAUUGCGACAAGUAGGGCGGGGCACGUGAAACCUUGUCUGAACAUGGGGGGACCAUCCUCCAAGGCUAAAUACUCGUAAUCGACCGAUAGUGAACCAGUACCGUGAGGGAAAGGCGAAAAGAACCCCGGAAGGGGAGUGAAAUAGAUCCUGAAACCGCAUGCAUACAAACAGUGGGAGCCCCAGCUUUAAUGGUCUUUAAUAGAGGAUUAUUAAAGCUGGGGUGACUGCGUACCUUUUGUAUAAUGGGUCAGCGACUUACAUUCAGUAGCAAGCUUAACCGUUUAGGGGAAGCGCAGCGAAAGCGAGUCUUAAUAGGGCGUUUAGUUGCUGGGUGUAGACCCGAAACCAGAUGAUCUACUCAUGGCCAGGAUGAAGCAAAGGUAAUACUUUGUGGAGGUCCGAACCCACUAAUGUUGAAAAAUUAGGGGAUGAGCUGUGGGUAGGGGUGAAAGGCUAAACAAAUCUGGAAAUAGCUGGUUCUCUCCGAAAACUAUUUAGGUAGUGCCUCAUAUAUCACCUUUGGGGGUAGAGCACUGUUAUGGCUAGGGGGUCGUCAAGACUUACCAAACCAUGGCAAACUCCGAAUACCAAAGAGUGCAAGUAUGGGAGACAGACAUCGGGUGCUAACGUUCGGUGUCGAAAGGGAAACAACCCAGACCCUCAGCUAAGGUCCCAAAGACACAGUUAAGUGGUAAACGAAGUGGGAAGGCAUAGACAGUCAGGAAGUUGGCUUAGAAGCAGCCAUCCUUUAAAGAAAGCGUAAUAGCUCACUGAUCGAGUCGUCCUGCGCGGAAGAUGUAACGGGGCUAAACUGUGCACCGAAGCUAGGGAUUUGCAAGUAAUUGCAGAUGGUAGGAGAGCGUUCCGUAGGCCUGCGAAGGUGAUCUGUGAAGAUUGCUGGAGGUAUCGGAAGUGCGAAUGCUGACAUGAGUAGCGAUAAAGGAAGUGAAAGGCUUCCUCGCCGAAAACCCAAGGUUUCCUGUGCAACGUUCAUCGACGCAGGGUGAGUCGGCCCCUAAGGUAAGGCAGAAAUGCGUAGCUGAUGGGAAGCUGGUUAAUAUUCCAGCACCUUUAUUUAAUGCGAUGUGGGGACGAAGAAGGCUAACUUAUCCGGGUGUUGGAUGUCCCGGUUGAAGCGUGUAGACAUGCUGCCUAGGCAAAUCCGGGUAGCUAAGUUGAGGCGUGAUAACGAAACUCCUUAGGGAGCCAAGUAAGUGAUGCCCUGCUUCCAAGAAAAGCCACUAAGCUUCAGUUAAAUAAAGACCGUACCGCAAACCGACACAGGUGGGUGGGAUGAGAAUUCUAAGGCGCUUGAGAGAACUCGGGAGAAGGAACUCGGCAAAUUGACACCGUAACUUCGGGAGAAGGUGUGCCUCCGGUAUGUGUAGCAUCUUGCAUGCGAAGCGGAAAGAGGUUGCAAUAAAAAGGUGGCUGCGACUGUUUAAUAAAAACAUAGCACUCUGCAAACACGAAAGUGGACGUAUAGAGUGUGACGCCUGCCCGGUGCCGGAAGGUUAAGUGAUGGGGUGCAAGCUCUUGAUCGAAGCCCCGGUAAACGGCGGCCGUAACUAUAACGGUCCUAAGGUAGCGAAAUUCCUUGUCGGGUAAGUUCCGACCUGCACGAAUGGCGUAACGAUGGCCACACUGUCUCCUCCCGGGACUCAGCGAAGUUGAAAUGUUUGUGAAGAUGCAAUCUACCCGCGGCUAGACGGAAAGACCCCGUGCACCUUUACUGUAGCUUUACAUUGGAUUUUGAUCAUGUUUGUGUAGGAUAGGUGGGAGGCUAUGAAAUAUGCUCGCCAGAGUGUAUGGAGCCAACCUUGAAAUACCACCCUAGCAUUAUCGAAAUUCUAACCUAGGUCCAUUAUCUGGAUCAGGGACCGUGUAUGGUAGGCAGUUUGACUGGGGCGGUCUCCUCCCAAAGAGUAACGGAGGAGUGCGAAGGUACGCUAGGCACGGUCGGAAAUCGUGCUGAUAGUGCAAUGGCAUAAGCGUGCUUGACUGCGAGACUGACAAGUCGAGCAGAUGCGAAAGCAGGUCAUAGUGAUCCGGUGGUUCUGUAUGGAAGGGCCAUCGCUCAACGGAUAAAAGGUACGCCGGGGAUAACAGGCUGAUUCCUCCCAAGAGUUCAUAUCGACGGGGGAGUUUGGCACCUCGAUGUCGGCUCAUCACAUCCUGGGGCUGAAGCCGGUCCCAAGGGUAUGGCUGUUCGCCAUUUAAAGUGGUACGUGAGCUGGGUUUAAAACGUCGUGAGACAGUUUGGUCCCUAUCUGCCGUGGGCGUUGGAAGUUUGAGUGGGGCUGCUCCUAGUACGAGAGGACCGGAGUGGACGCACCUCUGGUGUACCGGUUGUCACGCCAGUGGCAUCGCCGGGUAGCUAUGUGCGGAAGAGAUAACCGCUGAAAGCAUCUAAGCGGGAAACUUGCCACAAGAUUAGACUUCCCGGGAGUAUAACUCCCCUAAAGGUUCGUUGAAGACUACAACGUUGAUAGGUCGAAUGUGGAAGCGCAGUAAUGUGUUGAGCUAAUCGAUACUAAUUGACCGUGAGGCUUGAUCCU